CCUACGGGGAGCAGCAGUGGGGAAUAUUGGACAAUGGGCGAAAGCCUGAUCCAGCCAUGCCGCGUGUGUGAAGAAGGCCUUCGGGUUGUAAAGCACUUUCAGUGGGGAAGAAAGCCUUGGGGCUAAUACCCUCGAGGAAGGACAUCACCCACAGAAGAAGCACCGGCUAACUCCGUGCCAGCAGCCGCGGUAAUACGGAGGGUGCGAGCGUUAAUCGGAAUUACUGGGCGUAAAGCGCGCGUAGGCGGUCUGAUAAGCCGGUUGGGAAAGCCCCGGGCUCAACCUGGGAACGGCAUCCGGAACUGUCAGGCUAGGGUGCAGGAGAGGAAGGUAGAAUUCCCGGUGUAGCGGUGAAAUGCGUAGAGAUCGGGAGGAAUACCAGUGGCGAAGGCGGCCUUCUGGACUGACACUGACGCUGAGGUGCGAAAGCGUGGGUAGCAAACAGGAUUAGAUACCCGUGUAGUC
rnacentral:rRNA from 1 species